rnacentral:tRNA from 1 species
GCGGGAGUGGUGGAAUUGGCAGACACGCAGGAUUUAGGUUCCUGUGCCUUCGGGCGUGCGGGUUCAAGUCCCGCCUUCCGCAC